UAUGAACAAAAAAAUAAGGACAAUUAUUAAAAUAUCAUACACACAUGCAACCAAUAUCAGCUGUAUGAUCUAGAAUAUAUUUUAAAUCAUUAUACUCAAUUUUAUAAAACACCUGAAAGAAUAGAAACAAGAUGAAAUAGAUUUCUAUAAAAAAUUUGGCAGGAAUUUGUACCAUGAUGGAUCCUGACAAAAUGAUCCUGUAAUAAAAUAAGUCAGGCAUAUCUUUAGAGCAAAAACCUGAUGACACACAUGGAACACGAACAAAAUACCAUCUCCAUGUGUGUUCCUAGAUGUAAGCAGUGAGAUCAUUAUGGACAGAUCCAGUUGAUCUGCUAGUGUCACUAUGUUUGAUACUGGUCUUUAUUUGCGUGCUUCCAACAUCAAUCAGUGACUGAGGAUCUUUAUGAUUGGCAAGCAUAUUUCAUUAAAAGAGUUCAUAGUUUCUUGUCCUCCUUACAGGAAAUUAACGUGAUCUAGUUUGUGUAGAUAAUAUUCUCUGGCAUUAUAUUUUGGUAUCAUGAAGGCAUAUUAAAUAUGUUCAUUUUUUAGAAAAGAAGAAUAGCUAUGUAUGCUAUUGGUGCAUCUUGCAUUAUCUGAGUAUGAGUAUUUGAGUGUGUAUGCGUGGUUUUUGCUGCAUCUCAUCUAGAGAAGCCAUUUUGUCCUUAAGCAUUAUGUAUAUGAAAGUUAAAAAAAGAAGCCAUUUUGUCCUUGUUGUUUUUGUUUUGAAGGUUUUCUUUAAUAUCCAUCCAAGUCUGAUGCUCUCAUGCUUUCAUCUAGGUUCCUGAGGUCUUCUGCUAUGCUCAGAAGGCAGUGUUGCAUCCAACUUCCCCACUUUUUGACUAAGAAACACAAUCUUUGAAGCCUAGAUGUGUGAGGGCUUUAAAACGGAUAUUUAUUUUAUGCGACCAUGACAGAGAUGGUGCCCUGAGUGAUGCAGAAUUGAACGAUUUUCAGGUUAGAUGUUUUAAUGCUCCUCUCCAACCUUCUGAAAUUGUUGGUGUCCAAAAGGUUGUACAGGAGAAAAUGCCUGAAGGUGUCAACGAACAUGGCCUUACCUUAACUGGAUUUCUUUUUCUUCAUGCCCUUUUUAUUGAAAAGGGCAGUCUUGAAACUACUUGGACAGUUUUUAGAAAUAUCCUCUCAUUCAAGUUUUAAAACUAAACUAAUCAUGCAAUAACUUCCCCCUCUCCUUAACCUUUGGAAUUAGGUAAGACCAAAUUCAAAUCACCAAGUAAAAAUAAAUCAAGAAGAAGAACUAAAAAUGCAGGUUAUUACAGGAUAAAAAAAAUAACAAGAAGAUUAGCAAACAAAAUAAAAUAACAAACUAAUAUAAAUCUUACCCAAUGUUUGCUUAAUUUUAGGUAUGAUUCAAGAAGUAAAAGGUGAAGAAGAGAGCGACGAACGACAGAAUGGCGAAGUUUUGUUAGAAGGGAAGCAGAUGCGUCGGCGUUGGUGUCGGUGUCGCUGUCGGCUUCGUCGUCAACGUUGGAUUUGGCGUCACCCUCGGCGUCGUCGAUGGUUGGGGAGGAGGCGGCUGCGGAGGAUGGAGGUCGCUCAUUGAGGAGAUCGUGAGAGGCCCAGAUGACGUAUAAAACGAGCGUCGGCUUCGGCGUCAGCGCCGUCGACAACGGAGAUCGCGCUCGGAGAAGGCGGAUCGCUCGCGCUCAGAGGAGAUCGCUCGAGAGAGGUCGCUUGGAGAAGUUCGCUCGAGAGAGAGUUCGGGACGAGGUACGCUUGGAAGCUAGGGCUUAUUUCCAAUCGCGGUAUUUGGCGCCUUAAUUUUCAUUUGCGCCAAUUAAUAACAUAGUAAGAAGCGGUUUAAGACCGGUGUGAUUUCCUGUCUAUAGCAGCCAUAUUUAAUUUGCUGCUAACAAAUGCUGCGAAAAAGAUAUAUUUUUAGUAGUGGUGGGAUGCCCCAAUAAUCAAAUUUAGAAGAAUUAUCUAUUUUAUCUUCUUAAUUAAUCAACCAAAGUUUCUAUAAAUCAUCAAAAUAAUAAAUCUACAUAUUUAGUUAAAGCAACUAAUAAUUAUAUAUCUCAAAAUAAUUCAAUAUAUUUAUUCUCCAAAUCAAUAUACAAUAGUAAGGAGAUUAGUACAAUUACUAUUCUAUCACAAACUCCCGACUACAAAAAUAAGAGAAAAUAUAAACAAAAUUAAAAGAAAAAUCUGAGGAUCUUUGUUAAUCUCACUCCAACUGAACCCUGGCCCCUUUCUAAAAAAUAUGUAAAACCAUAAAUUGAGCUGACAGCUUAGUAUGUUACCAAAAUAUACAAUUGAAAUGAAUGCAAGGCAAUAUGAACAAUAUGCAUGUACUCAUUCAAUCACUAUCAAUAUAAACAUAUAAUUGUAAAAGCAUAUAACAAUCAAUCACAUAGUCACAUAUCAUAUGAUCAAUAAGUAUCAGUAUAAUUAUAGUAGUGAUAUGUAACCAAUUGAACAUAUAUAAAAGGCCAGUAAACUCUACAAUUCAUAUACCUAUUUAUUAAGAACAAUUAUAUCAAUCUCAGUUCAGGAAAUUUGUAUACCUAUAAUAGCUAAAUGCAUAUCACAUAGUGUCUAUUAUAUGCAUGUACAUCAUGUAAAUCAUGUGAUUCAUAUAUAUCAAAAGACUUUGUAUCAAUUAUAUGAGUCUUAUCAUAUAUUUGUAUCUGUCAAAGCAUAUAUCUUAUAUAAAUUAUAUCAUGUCAAUUAUGUAAUUUAUCAAAUACAUUCCUAUCAUAUGCAUAUAUAAGUGCUAUAAGAAAGAAAAAUCAUCCAACUAUCUAUGAUAUUUUUCCUGUAUUUUGUCCUGUUGGUCAAUCCUACACGAAUCAGUCUCAAUUACAAGUCAUUUCGGUCAGGUGGCUUUUAUAUCAAAAGUCAUCACUUUCUAUCCGGUGGCAUAUCAUACUGUAUCCUUAUGUCUCCCUUUUUAUAUUAUUAUUUUAAAGGAAAGUCUGCCAGUCCAUCCUCCUAUACAGGGUAAUAUAUCUUUAGCCAACCUAAAUAAGUCAAUCAUAUAUGGCUAACAUUUCUUACAUACACAUAUUUCACAACAUAUAUAAUAAAAUAAACAUAUAUAAUAACACGCUCAAUAUUCAUUUCACUGCAUCAUCUUAAUACAUAUAAAAUUUAUAUAUAAACAAAAAAAAUAGUGAAAUUUAUAAGAAAAUGUAGUAGCCACUUUUUGAUAUGAAUGUAUCUAAAAUAGCCAAAUUAUAACAGUUACGCAUGUCAUAAAGAAUAUAAUAUAGUUUUAAUAAUUAGUUUACAUAUUUUUAAAUUUAUCCAAAUUACCCAAAUUACAAUAUUUUCCCUAAAUUAUAAAAAUACCAAAUAAAAAUUCAAGAUAUUCCUAUCAAAAUGCUCAUAUUGACAACAUCUACUACAUUCUAAAAAUCAUGCGGUGGAAGUUUUACCAAUAAAAAAUUAUCCUCGUUGGUCGGUAAUAAAAAUGUAAAUUUAAUAAAAAAAUAUCAAAUUAUUGAAAUUAUAAAUAGGAUAAUGAUUCCUUACAAUGAGAUGUGCAAAUCUCCCAACAUGAUCGAAGAAAUAAAAUUGCUCUACAUACUCCAAAUCCUAAGUUCUCUUUUCUCUCUCCUCAGUUUUGCUUUCAGAUUUCCCUAACUAAUCUCUAUUAGCCGAAAUGAAUAUGGAAAAUGGAUUUAAAAAGGUUUUAAUGAUUUUGCUAGUAACUUUGGAUAUUUUGAUUAAAAUAAUAAUAUAAUAUUAUAUAAUUAAUUUAAUCAAUUCAGUAUAAAAUUUAUAUAAAUUCUUUUGGGCUUCAAAUAGUAUAAAAAAUAUUCAUAAAAUAAUACAUUUUAUAAAAAAAUUUAUGGUUAUAUCAAUUUGCAAAAAGGACACCAAGCGGUCUUAAAAUCCCUACUUGUACCAACAAAUGUCAAAUUCAUAACGAUUUGCACCAGCAGCAAAAUAAUUAUGAAAAAAUUAUUAUAAUUAAAACAUAAUAAUAUCUAUCUUAUGAAAAAGUUAAUUUUCACUGACUUAUAAUGACUUCAACAAUAAUUUUUUAACUGGAUUAAAAUUUGGUUUAUUACAACAUGAAUUUUAAAAAACUCUAUAACUUCCUUCUCAGUUUGAGAGAAGAUAUUAGGAUGCAUAUUGAGAGAGAAGAUAUUAGGAUACAUAUAUCCAUGAUAAAAUGCAUUAUAUUUAGAGAGAUGGUGGAUAGUGUUAUAUAUGUUGAAAUAGAAAUUAAUGUUUGCGAAGAGAUGGAACAUGGGAAAUGAAAGAGCACAUACAUUUCAAACACAAGUGAUUCACAAAAAAGUAGCAUAAUAAUCAUCAUGGUCUUAAGAUAAAGAGUAAGCAACAAAAGACACUUUAGAUAAGGCAAUUUAACUUUUGGGAAAUGUUUUAACUAUAAUAUACUGAUCACAAAAUUAAAGAUUGUCCUCUCAAGACUCAAGAGCAAUAUGAUUUGAUAGUAACACGAAAUAAUAAUUUCAAACUUCAACAUAUAAAUGGGUAACUAAAAUCAUUUGGAGGUCAAUAUCACAAAAAAAAAGGGAUAUAGUAGGCAAUACAAUAUUAUCUUUAGCCUCAUCAAUAAUCAAAAGUAGUUCUGGCACGUCAGCCAUAUCAAUGGCAUCCACCUACAUUACAGUACCAGCAACCCCAACUUUCAAUGUUAUCUAAAUAAUAAUAGCUAAUGGUAUAAUAUCAACCAUCACAACCUCAGCCUUAAUAAUAGUCAUAAUAGGCAAUUCCAUCUUGAGUAUUUGUUUUAACCAACAAGAGGCGCACGAAGCUCCUAAAGUGGUGACAUAUAUCAUUUAUAUUUUUAAACAAUUAGUAAGUGUUUGUUUAAAUCUAAGGCAUCACAUUCAUUCAAUUCAUAUAAAUUUGCAUCAAUCAUAUCAAUAUCACAUUUGUAAUCUCAUUUUCUCUAUUAUUAUGCCAUCAAUUUCAUCUAUGAUAGUUACUCUCAGUAUGUUCAUGAUUGUGACAUAAAAAAUACAUAUAUAAUUUUAAUACUCAUUUUAUUCUCAUUCGCUGAGUUUGAUGCAAUAUUGGAUGUGGACUAGUUAUCAUGCCGUAAUAGAUUAUUAUAAGAGAAGAUGAAAUUUUUAUAUAUUUGGAAUAGUACUUUUUUAACUUCAAUGGUGUUAGGAGAACAAUAUUUGUUUUAAUUUUGAAGUUUGUUUUCAAUAGAGAUCCUGAAAACUUUUUAACUAUCUCUGUUGCAAUAGAUCUUAAAUUUUAAUAAUCAUUAGGGUUCUCUACAUCAGCAAAUGCAUGAGAGUUGUGGAGCUGCAAACACUCAUCUUCCUUUAUGCCAUUUAAUCUAUAUGUUUUCCCUGCCUCUAAAUCUCAAUGAUUCUCCCUUCCAUUGCAGCCUGGAACAUUUGUACUUUUAAUAGCCAAGACAGGGUUCUAUGUUGUAAGAAUUUGGUUAGCAAUGCUAGUUUUGAUAUGCUCUGUAUAUUAGAGAAUAGAAUUAAUAUCUCUACUCUCUCUGAGCCCUGGUUUCGCAUGACCCAUUCUAUUUUUUGAGAAUGAAGAUAGCUUUAACAAUUUUGAGCUUUUGGAUCUGAGCCAUACUUGUAUCAAAUGCAAUAAAGCUAGAAUCAAUUUUGACCCCAUUUUUGUUUAUGAUCAAAUGAUAUGUGGGACUUCUUUUCUGCUCUGUGUCAUCUAUGCUACUAACUCGCAAUAUGAGUGUGUUAUUAUGGGAUCAUAUCAGAAACAUCUCUUCAUCUGCUUCCCUUCCUUGGGUGGUUCUUGGAGACUUUAACUACUGCAGAUUUUCCACUACGAAAGUGGGUGGAAAUGAAUUUCAUAAUAGUAUAUUGUGGGACUUUAACUCUCUCAUUUUUUAUAUUGGUUUGAAAGAGUUAGCCUUUGUUGGUUCUUUCUA